GACGAACGCUGGCGGCGUGCUUAACACAUGCAAGUCGAACGGUAAGGCCCUUCGGGGUACACGAGUGGCGAACGGGUGAGUAACACGUGGGUGAUCUGCCCUGCACUUCGGGAUAAGCCUGGGAAACUGGGUCUAAUACCGGAUAGGACCACUGCCUGCAUGGGUGGUGGUGGAAAGCUUUUGCGGUGUGGGAGGGGCCCGCGGCCUAUCAGCUUGUUGGUGGGGUGAUGGCCUACCAAGGCGACGACGGGUAGCCGGCCUGAGAGGGUGACCGGCCACACGGGGACUGAGAUCCGGCCCAGACUCCGACGGGAGGCAGCAGUGGGGAAUAUUGCACAAUGGGCGCAAGCCUGAUGCAGCGACGCCGCUUGAGGGAUGACGGCCUUCGGGUUGUAAACCUCUUUCAGCACCGACGAAGCGCAAGUGACGGUAGGUGCAGAAGAAGGACCGGCCAACUACGUGCCAGCAGCCGCCGCCG
rnacentral:rRNA from 1 species